rnacentral:lncRNA from 1 species
AAGAUUUUGUCUGUUGGAGAUUGUUAUAUUUUACUCUCUCUGCUGACUUCACAAAGGAGACCAACAGACACUAACUUACUCUCUCAAAAAAAAAAGGAUUAAAAAUGGAAAAAGAGAAGAAGCCUCUGGGUCUUUCCCUGAGCGCCUCACCCUUAACCAUUACCAUUCCUCUUCUUCAAAUACUCCAUCGUCUUCCACCCUUUCACCACACUAACACCUCAUUUUCGCUUCCGUCAUCUUUCCCUGAGCGCCUCACCCUUAACCAUUACCAUUCCUCUUCUUCAAAUACUCCAUCGUCUUCCACCCUUUCACCACACUAACACCUCAUUUUCGCUUCCGUCAAAACAACCAACCGCGCCUCCGACG